rnacentral:sRNA from 1 species
CGUUAUAUGCCUUUAUUGUCAUGCCAAGCAUUUUUAUUUGCCGUCUCAUUCUGCGGAAUGAUUUUGUUAUCGGUAAAACGACAAGCCCGAACUUCAUGUUCGGGCUUUUUUUAUGGC